rnacentral:lncRNA from 1 species
GUUGGCUUGGGAUCUUGGAGCAUGCUUCUAUCAAAGUCUAAGAGUACAAUUCUCCUCGACGUGGAAUUCAGUGGGCUAGUUUGGCUUCUUCAAAAAGAGAAAAAAAAAAAACUUUCUUAGUUUUCUUUUAGAACAUAAUAUUACAAAUGCACGAUACCAAGGUUUUAAAAGAAACAUGAUUAUGAACAUCAAAAUGUGUUAUGAAGGACAUCGAAUUGAUAAGGAAGAGUUCUAAAUGAGAUCAAAAUCAUCUCGUUAAAACUUCAGAAUGAAGACAGGAUUGACCAAGAAUAUAUAAGAUUAAAUGAAAAUCUCAUGCCAAUAAAGGAAUGAUCAAAAUUAUUCAUUCUCAUAAACUAAGAUGACUUAUAAAGAUAAAAGAAGUUCAGAUCAUUGAAAAUCAAGUAGAUCACAAUAAAAAGUUAUGAAGCACUUUAGAAUCAAGUUAAAAGAACUCAAAAAUUCAAAGUUCAUCACUAGUCUCAUCUAUGAAAUUCCAAAUCAAAUUUUUUGAUUAGAACUAAAAUCAAGGUUACUUAAGAUUGAAGAUAAGUGUUAGGUUUUUAUAUUGUGUUGGCUGCAUUUUGUUAAAACAAGAAGUUCUAGCAAGAUGUUGGACCAGAUGUAUUAGACAUGUAAGUACAACAUCUUGUCUCAAGGUGUUAUGCUUUGUUUCACAUUCUUGGAAGUUUAGAUUUUUGUGUGAGAUCACUGAAGAUUUGAUUGAAGUUAUGUUUCACAUAACUUGUGCUCCAAGAGGCGUUUGUUUCUAGAAGCUGCAUAUUUCAGUUUGUGCAUUGUCAUGUUUGUAAAGCUAAUGUCCUAAACAUUUUAGGAAUGUAAAAAUUCGCUCCUAGAAGAUUGUGAAGACUGAAUAGUAAUUUCGUCUGCUGAUUGUUUAGCCCGUGAAGAACAAGCCCAUUGACUAAAUGAAAAAGGUGUUGAUAUUGAUCAAAGUCUAUACAGGAGCAUGAUUGGUAGUCUUUUGGAUGUCACAGCUAGUAGACCAGAUACCACUUUUGAUGUAGGAGUUUGUGCUAGAUACCAAGCUGAGCCUAAAGUUAGUCACUUAAUCAAGUGAAGAGAAUUCUGAAGUACAUCAAUGGUAUUUAUGAUUAUGACAUUCUGUACUCUCAUGAUACUAGUUCUAUGUUUGUUGGAUAUUGUGAUGUUGAUUGGACAGGAAGUGCUAAUGAUAGAAAGAGAAAAUUUGAAGGAUG